rnacentral:lncRNA from 1 species
AUGCAGAUUUUUGUAAAAACCCUUAUGGGGAAGACCAUCACCCUCCAGAUUGAACCCUUGGAUACAACAGAAAAUGUAAAGGCCAAGAUCCAGGAUAAGGAAGAAAUUCGUCUGGAUCGGCAAACACUGAUGUUUGAUGGCAAGCAACUGGAAGAUGAACGUACUUUAUCUAACUACAACAUUCAAAAGGAGUCUACUCUUCAUCUUGUGUUGAGACUUUGUGAUGUUAUCAAGGAAGAAUUCUUAUACAACUCCCAAGAAGAAUAAGCACGAGAGAAAGAAGGUUAAGUUGGCUGUCCUUAAAUACCAUAAGGUGUAUGAGAAUGGUAAAAUUAGUCGCCUUAGUCGGGAGUGCCCUUCAGAUGAAUGUGGUGCUGCAGUGUUUACAGCAAGCCACUUUGACAGAUAUUAUUGUGGCAAAUGUCUGGCUUAUUGCUUCAACAAACCAGAAGACA